GACGAACGCUGGCGGCGUGCUUAACACAUGCAAGUCGAACGGAAAGGCCCUGCUUGCAGGGUCCUCGAGUGGCGAACGGGUGAGUAAACGGGGGGGAACUUGCCUUGCACUUCGGGUUAAGCUUGGGAAAUGGGGCCUAUUACCGGAUAGGAGCAUCCUUAAGGUUGGGGGUGGGAAGGUUUUUUCGUUGUAGGAUGAGCCCGCGGCCAAUCGGCUUGUUGGUGGGGUAAUGGCCUACCAAGGGGGCGACGGGUAGCCGGCCGGAGAGGGUGUACGGCCACAUUGGGACUGAGAUACGGGCCAGACUCCUACGGGAGGCAGCAGUGGGGAAUAUUGCACAAUGGGCGCAAGCCUGAUGCAGCGACGCCGCGUGGGGGAUGAAGGCCUUCGGGUUGUAAACUCCUUUCGCUAGGGACGAAGCUUUGUUGUGACGGUACCUAGAUAAGAAGCACCGGCUAACUACGUG
rnacentral:rRNA from 1 species